rnacentral:pre_miRNA from 1 species
GUGUGAAUCACAGGGCGCUUCUCCCUUGGCACGGUGGCAUGCAUGCAUGUACCAAUUGGCGAUGGUGGUAGCCUGGUGAGCGUGCGGUGCAGCUUGCUAGCAAGCCGUGCGUGCCAAAGGAGAAUUGCCCUGCCAUUUGCCU